ACCUGCAAUAAUGAACCACCUGACUGCAUUGGACGUAGCCUUUAUUUCGUCAAACACACUGCACCUGAAGCACGGAUGACAGGAUCAAGUAGCUUGUACAACCACAAAGAAAUUUGCCUGAUCUUGGACGUCGCCGUGUACUUGAUAAAGAACGGAUAUCCUCCAGUUGACGUGACAGUGCUUUGCCCUUACCGUGGACAGGU
rnacentral:lncRNA from 1 species